GAAUGGGGCUUUUGUAUGAAUUUGUAUCGUUUAAGAUUAUAUUAGGAUUAGGAUAGGUGGAUGCAUUAAUUAAACGCUAUAUGUAAAGGGAAGAUGAAGGGUUGUAUUUUUUGUGUAGGUUUCUAAGUUUACGGAACUCAUCUUCUUUCUUUUUUGAUUACCUUCCGACGUUACAAAAAAGAAAUUAUGAGAUGGAAAGCCGAAGAGACAUACGAUAUGGAAAAGAAAUUAAUAAGACAGAAAUUAAUAAGACGGGAAGCCGAAGAGGUAGACGUUAUAGGGAAGGAAUUAAUGAAACGGAAAGCCGAAGAGACAGACGUUCAUAAGGUGAAAGCAAACAGUGAACGAAACUAUAGGGAAGGAAUUAAUAAAACGGAAAGCCGAAGAGACAGACGUUCAUAAGGUGAAAGCAAACAGUGAACGAAACACUGCCACGUGGCAUUUUUUAUGGGGAUUAAUG
rnacentral:lncRNA from 1 species